GUGGGGAAUUUUGGACAAUGGGGGAAACCCUGAUCCAGCCAUGCCGCGUGCGGGAAGAAGGCCUUCGGGUUGUAAACCGCUUUUGGCAGGAACGAAACGGCGCGUGCUAACACCGCGCGCUAAUGACGGUACCUGCAGAAUAAGCACCGGCUAACUACGUGCCAGCAGCCGCGGUAAUACGUAGGGUGCAAGCGUUAAUCGGAAUUACUGGGCGUAAAGCGUACGCAGGCGGCUGUGCAAGACAGGUGUGAAAUCCCCGGGCCCAACCUGGGAACUGCAUUUGUGACUGCAUAGCUAGAGUCCGUAAGAGGGGGGUGGAAUUCCACGUGUAGCAGUGAAAUGCGUAGAGAUGUGGAGGAACACCGAUGGCGAAGGCAGCCCCCUGGGAUGAGACUGACGCUCAUGUACGAAAGCGUGGGGAGCAAACAGGAUUAGAUACCCCUGUAGUCC
rnacentral:rRNA from 1 species